rnacentral:rRNA from 1 species
UGGGGAAUUUUGGACAAUGGGCGCAAGCCUGAUCCAGCCAUUCCGCGUGAGUGAAGAAGGCCUUCGGGUUGUAAAGCUCUUUCGCAAGGGAAGAAAACUUACUUUCUAAUAAAGAGUGAGGUUGACGGUACCUUGAUAAGAAGCACCGGCUAACUACGUGCCAGCAGCCGCGGUAAUACAUAGGGUGCAAGCGUUGUCCGGAAUUAUUGGGCGUAAAGAGCUCGUAGGUGGUUCGCUACGUCGGAUGUG